CCCGCACAAGCGGAGGAGCAUGUGGUUAAUUCGAUGAUACGCGAGGAACCUUACCUGGGCUCGAACGUAGGAUGACUGUAGGUGAAAGCUUACAUCUCUUCGGAGCAUUUUACGAGGUGCUGCAUGGUUGUCGUCAGCUCGUGCCGUGAGGUGUCGGGUUAAGUCCCAUAACGAGCGCAACCCUACCUUUAGUUGCCAUCAGGUAAUGCUGGGGACUCUAAAGGAACUGCCUACGCAAGUAGUGAGGAAGGCGGGGAUGACGUCAAAUCAGCACGGCCCUUACGUCCAGGGCUACACACGUGCUACAAUGGCCGAUACAGAGGGCAGCUACCUGGUGACAGGAUGCAAAUCUCCAAAGUCGGUCUCAGUUCGGAUCGGAGUCUGCAACCCGACUCCGUGAAGUUGGAUUCGCUAGUAAUCGCGCAUCAGCCAUGGCGCGGUGAAUACGUUCCCGGGCCUU
rnacentral:rRNA from 1 species